ensembl:snoRNA U3 Small nucleolar RNA U3
GUGUUCUCUCUGAGUGUGAAGCCGGCUCUAGGUGUUGCUUCUGCAACUGCCUCUUGCCAUUGAUGAUUGUUUUUCUCUUCCUUUGGGGGAGAAGAGGGAGAGGACACAAU